AUUGAACGCUGGCGGAAUGCUUUACACAUGCAAGUCGAACGGCAGCACGGACUUCGGUCUGGUGGCGAGUGGCGAACGGGUGAGUAACAUAUCGGAACGUAUCCAGUAAUGGGGGAUAACGAGUCGAAAGAUUCGCUAAUACCGCAUACGCCCUACGGGGGAAAGCUAGGGACCUUCGGGCCUGGCGUUAAUGGAGCGGCCGAUAUCUGAUUAGCUAGUUGGUGAGGUAAAGGCUCACCAAGGCGACGAUCAGUAGCUGGUCUGAGAGGACGACCAGCCACACUGGAACUGAGACACGGUCCAGACUCCUACGGGAGGCAGCAGUGGGGGAUUUUGGACAAUGGGGGCAACCCUGAUCCAGCCAUUCCGCGUGAGUGAAGAAGGCCUUCGGGUUGUAAAGCUCUUUCGCAAGGGAAGAAAACUUAGUCUCUAACAUAGACUGAGGCUGACGGUACCUUGAUAAGAAGCACCGGCUAACUACGUGCCAGCAGCCGCAGUAA
rnacentral:rRNA from 1 species